UGAAAACCUCGCAACUGUCAUCUUCCUCCGUUCGAUCCGCUCCAGUUUCUUCACACUUACAGAGAUACUAAUAUUGGGUUUGUUGGUGAUUCCCUAAACAGAAACAUGUAUGUGUCUUUGUUUUGCACUCUGAGACGUGUCUCCGGUGAUGUGAAGAAAUGGCUUCCUGCGGGAGCUGAUCGUGGCUUUACUUUUCUCGAAUUUAAUCUUACCAUUGCAUAUCAUCGAACUAAUCUUUUGGCACGCUAUGGUAGGUGGUCAGCUAAUAGUAAUGGUGGUAAGUUGGAAGCUCUUGGAUAUAAACAUCGUUAAAAGUCUAGUUGAGCAUGCGUAAAGUGAACACACGUUCAUAACCAAAAUCCACACAAGUUUUUAUCAGUUUCACUACAUCUAUUUUAGCAGCAGCACAUACAAUGGAUAAACAUUGCUUUCUAAGUCUUCCAACAAUAGGUUGUGCCCGCAAACCAAGGCCUCUUGGCUGAAUUCACAUGGUAACAAGCUUUAGCCUUUAGGUGAAAUACCCCAGUCUCUAUUGAGUUUCCUAGUUACAGCCUUUGGUUCAAAAUGCAGCUCUUUGCGGAGCUCCAUUGGAGAAAUGUAAAAGCAUUGAGAGUAACCCGACAAAACCUGGAUCCAAUAGUGCAUUAGCGUCGUUGGUAAUGCCAGGUCGAAACCCAACUGUUAUAGCUUUAUCCCCAAGCUCAUUUCCGGUGACUGAAAACCCCAACAAAACUCCAAACUCUCGACAUCAGCAUAAUACAGCCAAAAUAAGCCUACUGGCUUUAAUAGCCAUUAUUUUAGGCGAUGUUUUGGUUCUCGCUUUGGUUUCCUCCUUGCUUUACUGUUACUGAUCUGAUCUUUAACACAGGGCACUGGUUUUCACCUUGUGUCUGAAAGUACACAAAAUUUUAUUGAUUGUAAGUUAAGAGAACCAAACAUAUUAAAUAGGGGGUUAAUCUAUGGCCAUGGUCCAUCCCAGCUUGUCCUCGAUUAGACCAGUUUGAAUCCCUGUUAGUUUUGCAAACAAUCUCUGAGCCGAGGAGGAGGAGGAGGAGGAGCUAAGGGUGUUGUUUUAUCAGAGUUAACGUGUCACCUCAGCAAAAAUUGACUGGUAACCUCAGCAAAAAAGAAAAACACAAAAAAGAAAGACCAACUUAAAAC